GAAUACAUAUAUCUUAUAAUAAAAUCUCUCAAUACAUAAUAUUGAUGUGAAUAUAUUAAUCAAUAGUGAGAAUGUGGGUUCGUGUAGUAGGUACCCGUAACAGUUGAGCCUAAUUGUCUUGGCUGUUGGGAAUAUCUAACUCUUCAGCCGGUAAAGCUUGGAUUUUUGGAAAUCAACGCUUUGAUUGCUCCAGAAGCUCUGCAAUUUUGAAGAUCAACGCUUGAUUGACUAGAAAUUAAAGGAACUGCUGAACCUUUUUUUUUUAUUGACUGUUUCUUCUGUGAUGGCAGCUUGAUUCUUACAGACCUCCGACCGACGAUUAGGAGGAAAAUAAAUUUCCAAUCUUUGUGGAAAUUCCCAAUUGCCGUAAUCUGAAGUAACCUUCUCACUUAAUUUGCUCCGAAAUGAAAAAAAAUUCACAUUUUCUUCUUCUUUUUACAUUUUCUUAUUUUUUUUACUGUGAAAUAUGGUCAGUCACCACCGCUGUUUACAUAUUUGUUUAAUUUGAUUUCUGAAUAUUUUGGGAUCUAAAUCAUAUCAACAAGUGUCGGUCAUCAACCCAUUAUUUUCUUAGCUUUAAUAAACUUUCCUGUAUUCAAAGUUUCACUGAAUUUCAUGUAAUUGUUUUAAUUGUUUAUUGAAGCAAGUAUGAUAUUUGUUGUUUUCUCACAAUCAAGUUUUACAAUUCUGUUCUUUUGCUCGCAAUUUGCACAGUUAUGACCAAAGUUUUGCUGUAUAAAUCUGUGUUUUCGAUGGCAAUUUUGCAGGAGGGGAUGCUGACAAAUUAUCUGUAGUUGAUUUGUCUUCAAUUAUUGUAAGUUGCAUAAUUUGUAUGUUUAUUUAUCUUUUUCUACACGCACAAACACACAUAUGUAUUAUUUAUCAGACAUAUGUAUUGUAUAUUUGCUAUGUCAAUGAGGAAAACUGCAAGUGGGAUGAAUCUAUUAUCUACCUGUUUCUCUUUUGAAUUAUUGCUCGUAUUAUUGCGGGGUGUAUUUUAUGUGUUCCUUGCUGCAUUUUGAGUUUUACGAAGUGUAUGGGCAAAUAUACUUAACUACUCAACGCCUAUUAUCCGAGCUGGGUAGGUUGAAGAAGGUUAGAAGAAGAAAUAAAAGGAUAAAAAGAAGAAAAUAAAUAAAAUAAAACAGCAUAAAUAAAUGGAAAUACAUAUAAUAAAAAAUACAUACACAUGUAUAUAAAAAACUAAAUAACAAACCGAAAGGGAAACUGAAAAAAUAUAAUAUUGAUAUGGACCAUAAAGGUGAAGUGAUACAUAAUUUGAGUAAAUAAGUUUGAAAAUGGUUGGUAAGCAUUAUUAUUUAUUUAUUAAAAUUAAGUAAUUAUCAAGAUGAGUCGAGGGUUACCUCAAUCAUACAAGAAGUAGGCGAUAUAGGCUAUUGGAGAUAUCUCAACAAGAUAAUAUAUUAAAAAUCAUAGAAAUCCAGCAUAUAUGAGCUUUUACAUGGUUUCAAAUUGUAAUUGCUUUGGCGCAGGAGCGUUUCAUCCUCAAUUCUUCUAGCAAAGAAUUUAGAUCAAUGUAAGAAGACCCAUCUUCUUCGACCGCCUUUUUUGCUGCAUCUCCCGGUGCUCUUGCUCGGCUUCUCAUUUUAUUGGUUUCUUCACCAACCAUCAGUUGGCUUACUGCCUUCACUAUAUCAUUCCUGUUUACAGAGACCUUAUAUUCUAUAGUCCUUUUAGACCACUGCUGAGCACCCACUGUGACUCCUAUCCUCAAAACACCUGUUAUUAGCUUUUUAUUGUAAAACUGUUCAGCAAAUAGUAGCCAUGUGAUCAUGGGCACUCCAGCAGUCAUUCCCUCCAGUAAUGAGUUCCACCCACAAUGAGUCACAAAACCUCCAACAGCUUCAUGAUCAAGGAUUAGAACUUGGGGCGCCCACCCUCUUAUUAUUAAACCCUUGUCCUCCGUUCUUUUUUUGUAUCCUUCAGGCAACCACCACUCCUGUUCUUCAUCGUUCUCUUUCUCUUUCCUCACCACCCAAAUAAUUUGCUGUCUGGAAGCUUCAAGACCAAUGCUAUCUCAUGUAGCUGUGCAGCUGAAAAAUUGGACAUGCUUUCAAAACAUAUGUAGGAAACAGGAAUUUUUUUUUUGGGAGUUGACCCAAUUUAAACACUCAUUUUCAUUAAUUGAGACCUUGUUACCUCUUUAUGCUUUAUCCUCAUUGUCUUUGUUACAGAGUGAAACUGGACCGAUAAGCCACGCACGUCUUCCCAUGACCUUGUGAUAAAUUCAGUGUUCUAAAAGGCGGCUGCCUUGGCCCCCUGGCGCCUCGCCUAGGCCAAAAAAGUCCUCCGGGAAAUUAGGCGGGCUAGGCAGAAAAGGCGGGGCCUAGGCGAAGAGGUUUUUUUUUUUUAAUUUUUAAUAACUACCCAAACCAAAUAUUGAUAUAUUUAUUUUUCUAAUGUUUACCAUAUUCAUAAUGCAGGUUGUAGCAUAUCAAAUCACAACAAGAAGUUCUAUAAUAAAAUGGAUAAUUUUAUUAUAGUUGUAAUUUUUUGAACUUGUACCAACUUCAAAUUAUAUAAAUGAUGAUACAUUUGUAAUAUUUAGUUUAAUUCAAUAUAAUUCUUAAAUUUAUGUUUAGUUUCUUAAGUUUUAAUAUUGAAUUGAAUUCUUGAAAUUUUAAAUUUUAUUAUUUAAUAGUAAUCUUGUUUAUGAAUAAAAUUAAUACGUUAAAGAUAUCUGUUUAAACUUUAAGCAAAUGCCUUUAUUAUCUUUAUUAUAGAUUUUUUUGCUUUAUAUUAUUGUUUUGUUUGGAU
rnacentral:lncRNA from 1 species